GUGGGAAGCACAUGUACUAACAUUGGAAGGAUACAGAGAUGAGCAGGACCUCUACGCAAGAAUGACACACAAAUUCUUGAAAUCUCACUAUGUUUC
ensembl:snRNA U6 U6 spliceosomal RNA